rnacentral:lncRNA from 13 species
GUCACGAGCUCACUGAAAUUAUUCAAACUAUUCAGUACUAAAUCUGAUUACCCUGCCUUGCCCACUUCUUCCUGCAAAAACCAUAAUAAAAGCUCUGGCUCAUGUCCGUGCAUUUUCUUCCCUCCUUCUGUCUCCUGACUGUCCCUGGUGCUUCCUGACUUGGCCCUACAUGACAUGCCCUGACCCCCUCUUAGGAACCCUUGUACAUUUUUAUGAAACAACUUGCCAUGCGGGAGAGAUCUACAUGCCAUGGAACUGAGAGUGGCUCCUGGCCAACAGCCAACAAGGAACUGAGAGCCUCAGUGAACUGGAUCCUGCCAACCAUCAUACAACGCUGGCCUGCCAUGCUUCCAUCCUGUGCCUAUAGAAACCCAGAGACUUAGCAGGCAGAUACCCAGGUGGCUGGAUGUCGAGAGGAACACAUCAGUGGAGGAGCACAUGGGCAUGCCGGCAGGCCAUCAGGCCAUCAACGGUGGAAGGAGGUGGAGUUCGUCAAGGACAGUCGGAAGAGAGCCCGAGUGGCUGAGUGGCCUGACUCCAGGGGAAAAUCUUCUCCCUUCUGGCUCCCCGAUCCACUGAGAGCUACUUCCACUUAGUACUACUGAGGGGUCUGAGUCCCACAGCCGCCCGUCUGUAUGCUCCCCUAGAGGUUUGAGCAGCGGGACACUGAAGAAGCGAGCCAUACCCCCAUCACAUGCCCUGUGAGAUGGACAAGGGAACCUUUCCCCUUUCACUAUCACAGAAUACUUUUAUUAUUUUAACGAGAAAGAAUCAGUUAAAAUGUUUUUCAUUCAUAUCACUUUUUCUACAAAUCUGUUUUCCCUAUCC